rnacentral:antisense_RNA from 1 species
AUAGGGCUACUGAAACACAAGGUGACGAGAACUAUUAGGCAAUUGAGUGCAUUCCCUGCAGGGCUGCUCCCACUUCUAUCUGACUUGGGUCUAGAUGACUCAAGUGAUUCCCAAGGGGAAAAUAAUCUAUGUGGAACAGCUGUCAUGAGCAGGCCUUCUGCUGCUCUUCAGCCUCAAUUUCAGCCUGCUACUUCCCGUGACAUCAUUCAGUGAUUCCUCCCUUUAAGGGGACAGUUUUCUCUUGUAUUACAGGUGACUGCUUGAAGGUGGCUAGACGAGAGCAUACUGCCACCACUCUUUAUUUGGAGGCCUGUAACCUGUCUUGAGUGUGUCGCAGGAAGACUCAGUUACAGUGUUCCCUGAAUAUGUAGCUUUCCAUUACAAUAGUAUGCAAGCCAAGAUGAAACCACCUCUGUUUGGGUUUCAGCAGCUGUCUGCCUACGGAAGGCUCCAGAGUCCCUGACGCAUAUUUAUAUCUCCACUUCACUGAAGUCACAAGGAACAAACACGUUCACAGGAAGCACCUGGCACACAGUAACUAUUAUUA